UGGAAUUGUACAAAAUGUCAUCCUGGAACGACAACUCUUUCAAAAGGAGCAGACAGAUGUAUUGAACUGUGUUCGACAGGAAAAGAAUAUGACGCAAAAACAGAAAAAUGUUACCCCUGUAAACUUGGUUUUUUUCAAAAACAUCAGUGGAAGCAAUAUUAACUGUUCUUCGUGUCCAAAUAACUACACUACCUAACAUUUUGGAGCAAUGUAAAAGAGCUAAUUGCUGGUUCCCAUGUAACAGAGUGCAUAAGCCAAAGAACUAUACAAAUGAACAAUUGGCAAAAGUAAUAGAAGGGUUGAAGAAAGAACUUAUUGUUAAUAAAACACAACUUUCGUCCAACACGAGAAAAAAGAUCAGCGUAAUGGACAGUCGUCCGUCAUCUCAGUCGAUUGGAGUGUUGGGUGUUGUCAUGAUCACCACGGUGUUUGCCGUCAUUAUUGCAACUGACUUCAUGAU